rnacentral:lncRNA from 1 species
AGAAAUUAUGUUUCUAAAGUUCUUUUUACGAAUUCUUUACGUCUAACAAAGAGGGAUUUAGUUUUUGAAGGCUAUCAACUCUGACACUCUGGUACUUGGCUUAAUAAAUUAAUUAAUGAAGUCACUACUGGUAAAGAAUAAAUUGAAAGAAGUUCUAUAUAAUUUAGAAGAUAUUUGAUGAUUUAUUAUCUCAAGCUCCUUAAGUAAGGGGGUCUAAUGUAAAGGUGGGCAUUUU